AUGGAUCGAGGUCGGAGGAGGCAAUGGGGCGUCGUAUGCUCGGCGCUGCUCCUGUCGGCGCUGCUGGCGGUCGCCUCCGCGCAGUCGCCGUCCCCGGCGCGGGCGCCCAAGCCGGCACCGUCUCUUCCCGCGGCUCCGCGGUCGGCUCAAAGGCCGUCGUCUCCAGCCGUGCCGGCGCCCAAGCCCCCUGCUGCGUCGCCGGCGCCGAAGCAGACACCUAGCCCUUCGGCCUCGCCGGUGCCGAAGCCGCCGGCUCCGCGCGCGCCGGCGCAGGCGCCAAAGCCAUCGUCUCCAGCUGCACCCGCGGCGUCACCGGUUCCAAAGCCACCCACUCCACGUGCGCCGGCGCAGGCCCCAAAGCCGCCGUCACCCCCACCCCCGGCGUCGUCGGCACCAAAGCCGUCACCUGUCGCCCCAGCGCCGGCUCAAAAGCCGUCUCCUCCUACGACUCCACCACCACCACCACCACAGAAACCAUCUGCUCCUCCGACUCCACCACCGGCUCCGACACAGCCUCCGACGAACUCAUCCCCGCCGACGCCUUCAUUGGCUCUGUCGCCCAACUUCUACGCCGCCUCCUGCCCGAGCGUGGAGCUGGCGGUGAACGAUGUCGUCAGGUCGGCCUCCACCUUGGACCCUAGCAUCCCCGGCAAGCUUCUCAGGAUGGUCUUCCAUGACUGCUUCGUAGAGGGAUGCGACGCGUCGGUGCUGAUCCAAGGCAGCGGCACGGAGAGGACCGACCCGGCGAACCUCUCGCUCGGCGGGUUCAACGUCAUCGACGAGGCCAAGAGGCUGCUCGAAGCCGUGUGCCCGGCGACCGUUUCUUGCAGCGACAUCAUAGUUCUCGCCGCGAGAGACGCUGUCACAUUUACCGGAGGACCGUCGGUGCCGGUCUCCCUCGGCCGACGUGACAGCCUCGUCUCCCUUGCGUCCAACGUCCGAGCAAACAUCAUCGACACCGGCUUCUCCGUCGACGCCAUGGCGGCGAGCUUCGCCUCGAAGGGGCUCUCCCUGGACGACCUCGUCACCCUCUCAGGCGGGCACACGAUCGGGUCGGCGCACUGCGGCACGUUCCGGGAGCGGUUCCGGCCGGACGCGAACGGGAGCAUGGUGCCGGUGGACGGCACGAUGAACGCCGAGUACGCGACGGAGCUGAUGCGGGCGUGCGCCGCGUCCGGGAGCGCGGCGGUGGGCUGCGACGACGGCUCGGCGGCGGCGUUCGACAACCGCUACUUCAGCAACCUGCUGGACGGGCGCGGGCUGCUGCGCACGGACGCGGUGCUGGUGCAGAACGCCACGACGCGGGCCAGGGUGGCGGCGUUCGCGCAGAGCCAGGACAGCUUCUUCGGCAGCUGGGCCGGCUCGUUCGUCCGGCUGACCAACCUCGGCGUCAAGACCGGCUCCGACGGCGAGGUCCGGCGGCUCUGCUCCAGCGUCAACGGCUGA
rnacentral:rRNA from 1 species